AUACCUGCUAUAUACCACUUAGAGUAGGGUCUAAGGAGGUAAUAUGUACGCAAACCAUGCCCCUACAUGUGGUAGGGAGGUUGUUUUCAUGAAGACUCUUGGCGUAAUGCAUAUAUUCAUUAUGUGUACAUGUGUGUGAUACAUAAAUAAUAACCGGGUAGCAAUUUAAGAAAACAUAAAUUUAAUUACAUAAUUAGUAAAGUUGUCAAGACUCCGGACCAUACCUGAGCCCAUGGUUUUCUGCACAUGGGACAUACCUGGGAGUAUUGUUAAUAUAGUCGAGUCAAUAUGAAUAAUUAAAUCGAAAAACCUCCCCACCAACUGUUUUCUUUGAAUAGUAAACCAUGUCACCUCUAACCCAAUUGAUCAAUUCUCCGUCUACUAUACACACAUAUAGACUUUCUCUGCUAACCCUGAUAAUUACCGCCUGAAUAUGUGCUUCCUUUUUGUUCUUUCUCAAUGCUUGAGAAAAUUAUAGAUGAACCAGAUAUUUUCAAUGAUGAGUAGUAUAUCUAUAGAGGUGCCCCUCCCAAGGCAUGGACAAUUGUUGACAAUGUUGGGCCUGAUGGAAAUGCUAGGUGAUCAAUCCAUCGAACACUAGCUAUUGAAGUUGAGCUUCCAUUUGAGCACUUGCUCCACGAAGUAAAGCAGAGGAGCUUUAAGGGGUAGUAAUAUAGAGCUGGCUGUUUACAAUUACAAAGUUUUCUUCAAAGAUAUUAGAUUGCUACAGCAUCUCAAGAGAGCAGGGGAAAUGUUUGAGGAACAGAAAUGGCAUAGUUUCUCAGUAAGGAAAGUAAUAUCUGAAGACUUAGAAAUUAGCUAACGGAUGCUGCUUGAGAAGCAUGAGCUUGCUAGAAACCACUACAUGAAUGUGAUGCUUUUGCUGCAUCGCGAUUGACAUUUGAUAUAGGCUACCUUGUUUUAGAUUUAUGACCGCUAUUUUGUCAAUCACUUCUCAUGUGGCCAUGGUGCCUUUGUUUGCAGGCAAAGUGAGACAUGUUAGUGCUGAGCACAUGCAAUAGUCAUACAAUUAAAAAAGGACAGUUAGCAAUCAUAGGUAUGGCCAAAAAUAUUUAUUUUUUUUGUCCUUGUAGGGUUUCGGACCUCAUACAAAGAUUACGAGUCAUCGUCUUGCAACCGUCAAGUAAACCUGACUGGUACAUUUUUCACCAUCAACUUACUGUUUAACAUUAUUUUAUCCCUCUAGCAAGUUGAAAUUGAAACUGAAAUUAAGUCGGUUUAAGAGCUAUCAGUAUCCCGUUUUUGCAUCCAGAAGAAACAUGGUCCUUCAAAGAUAAAUUGAUUGAUAAAUACUUUUUCAUUGACAUAUAUGAUUACAGCUCAAGAAUGAUAUAUAUUAAAGCUAAUGCACUAUCAUGGAAGAGCUAACGUCCUGCGCAGGGAAAAGCCAACUGCAGGCUAUCUUAGUAAUAUACCACCUUGAGCAUGAUCCGGCUUAAGGUUCUUCUUUUUCAGCUUCUUCCCUUUUGGUAUCCUAUGGUUUUGGAUGCUUAGGAUUUGGAUUUGGAUUUGGAUGAGUUGUCACCCCGUGAUAAUCAGUGUGGUAAACAAGCUCUUGCUCGUUGCUUGCAGACUCAUUUUGAAGCAAUUCAGGUUUGAUUGUGUACAUAGCCUUUUGUUUAGUUGGAACCUGCAACAUAACAUGCAAUUAGUACUUGGUGGUACAGAAUACCAUUUAUUUAUGGAAAAUGAUAAAAUUCGAAAAUGAGAGUGAGCUGUUAUAUUUUUACAAUCUUGAGCUUCGGACAUGCAUCCACUUGGCUAGAGUGUGGUAUUUUGACGUCUCUCAUAUAUCUUCGGCCUAGGAGGUGAAACUGAGCAGGAGAGGCAGCAGCAGCCAGACUUUGGGAAGCUAGAUAGAAAGCAGCAGUGAGGAGACAUAGGAAAAGGGUGUGCAAAGAUCUCAUUAUUAUUAGAGCAAAAAGUUGUAUCUAUUUUCUAUCCUUUAGGAGAAAGAUUAGGGGAAGUGUAAAUAUAUAGGAGGAACCUGAGGCAGUGCAAGCAGCACAUAAGAGAGGGAAUUAAUAAUUGAUUGAAGGUGGCCCUAGAUGUCCCAGCCCAUGCUAAUGAUGGCUACUGGUUUACACACAUGAGACUGACACAGGGCUGGUGGUCUCCUAUUGAACAAUCAUAAAUAGCUCACAAGGAUGCUACCCAGGGCAGAAAACUCCCACAUUAGCAUGUCUAGCAGGGACUUCUCUAUACAGUAAUGGACUCAGUAUAUGUAUCCAGCUUUAUCCUCAUGAAUGAUGUGAAGUUCCUGAUUCUUGUUAAUGAACAGUUGGUGACAUCAAAUUCAAAAGUCAUGCAGUUGAACACGAUCACCACGCCAAUUUCAGAAGGGGAGUUCUUUACUUAAUUUCUUCUGGUCUUCCUCACAAGUCUUAUACAAUAGCAUCUGCUUUUCCUCAGGUAUUAAUGAAUUAUGUAAUGAAUACAUAUGUAAUUAAUAUCUUAUUUUACCUUUAAUUAGAAUUCCGCAUUUUGUCCUAAUAUAACUGAAAAAACCUCCACCAUUCUUUGGGACCUUA